CCUACGGGAGGCAGCAGUAAGGAAUAUUGGGCAAUGGAGGCAACUCUGACCCAGCCAUGCCGCGUGGAGGAUGAAGGCCCUCUGGGUUGUAAACUUCUUUUACUUGGGACGAAACCACCCUAUUCUUAGGGUGUUGACGGUACCAAGGGAAUAAGCACCGGCUAACUCCGUGCCAGCAGCCGCGGUAAUACGGAGGGUGCAAGCGUUAUCCGGAUUCACUGGGUUUAAAGGGUGCGUAGGCGGGCAGGUAAGUCCGUGGUGAAAUCUCCGAGCUUAACUCGGAAACUGCCGUGGAUACUAUCUGUCUUGAAUACUGUGAAGGUGAGCGGAAUAUGUCAUGUAGCGGUGAAAUGCUUAGAUAUGACAUAGAACACCAAUUGCGAAGGCAGCUCACUGCGCAGUGAUUGACGCUGAGGCACGAAAGCGUGGGGAUCAAACAG
rnacentral:rRNA from 1 species